UUAAAAAUCAAAAAUCACUUCAUGUUUCUAGCCCAGAUGGCCUGGGAGGGUAUAACUCCUGUGGAACAGCAAAGGAUCCCAGGUCUCAUCCAUACGCAUACCUGAAGCAAUGGGGUUCUGCUUCCUGAAUGCCUUUCUCAUAAUGCCUUCCUUUACUGACUCAAAUGAUACCUAUCUUUCCUAACAAAGAGCAAGGCAGUUCAGCAGCAUGGUAUCCAUUUACUGAUUCAUUCAUCCUGCAACAAGCAUUAAACACCUUCUCUAUGCCAAUGACUAAGAACACAAUUGUAAUCAAGAUCCUAAGAAGUUUAUCAAAUGAAGGACAGUAAGAAACCUUUACACAUAAUUUUAGAGCUAUGGAAAAAUGUCAGCUUUGAAAGCCCACAAGGAGGAAUUCUCCUAAUUCUACUUUGGGGAUCAUAACUGGGUAAAAUAAACUCUUUCCAGGAAGACA
rnacentral:lncRNA from 1 species